rnacentral:lncRNA from 1 species
CAGAAUCAGAUGUUGAAUAAAGCAUCACACACAAAGCAGUGGUUCUUAUGAUCAAACAAGGAAAACUUAUCAAAGAUCCUACCAAGAAUAACAGGUAGAAAAAAAAAACACAGGUAUGUGAUGCCCGGACCGGUGUCUCUGAAUAUACUGACCUACACAAUGUUAGGUAUUCCGACUGUUUCUCAUGAGGCAGCAUGAUACAGAUCACAGGCCAAAACAACAGCUACAGGUGAUGGAUCAAUUUCUACUUGGAAAUAUACAGAAUCAGAGGUUGAAUAAAGCAUCACAC